UACGUAGGGUGCGAGCGUUGUCCGGAAUUACUGGGCGUAAAGAGCUCGUAGGUGGUUUGUCGCGUUUGUCCGUGAAAACUCACAACUCAAUUGUGGGCGUGCGGGCGAUACGGGCAGACUGGAGUACUGCAGGGGAGACUGGAAUUCCUGGUGUAGCGGUGGAAUGCGCAGAUAUCAGGAGGAACACCGAUGGCGAAGGCAGCUCACUGGGACGGUACUGACGCUGAGACGCGAAAGCUAGGGGAGCAAACGGG
rnacentral:rRNA from 1 species